UUUGCUAAAUAUGUUAGGGACCCUGCCAGAGUCUGAAAAGAGAACUUGGAGUCGUCAAGUAGAAGCACUAGUUCAUGCCUACAACUGCACCCGACAUGAUUCCACAGGUUAUUCACCAUACUUCCUUAUGUUUGGGAUAGAAGCGAGACUACCUAUAGAUCUCCAGUUAGGGGUGUCAUCAGAUGGAGUUUCUCAUAAGAGUCACUAUCAGUAUGUCAGGCGAUUGCAGAAGAGUUUACAAACAGCUUAUAAGUUGGCUGAAGAAGCUACUGCUCGAUUAAAUGAGGCUAAUAAACAACGAUAUGACAAGAGAAUAAAACAUCAGGAUUUGCAACCAGGAGACCGUGUCCUUUUACGGAAUUUAGGGAUACCAGGCAAGCACAAGUUAGCUCCUAGAUGGAGGAAUAGUAUCUAUAGAAUAGUCAGACAAUUGCCAUGUCUUCCAGUUUUUCAGAUAGCAGAUGAAAAUGGUGUUGUGAAGACAUGACAUCGGAAUAAUUUGUUGCCUAUACCUCAAUUCCAGCAUGAUGUUACAUAUCAUGAGGACCAAGGCCCAAGCAUGUCAAUUAAUAAUGAAUAUAGUAUCCCACAUGAAGACUCAUCAAUUCAAUCGGACCCUGAAAUGAGAUCUCCAUUGCAAAGAGAGACCUAUAAUGAUGAGCAUGCCUCCUCUGUUGCCCCAACCUCUGAACCUGAUAUGCCAUCCUUCCCUAAUAGUCCUAUACCAGAUAGGGAAUCUCCAAACCCUAUACAUUAUGAUAGUAGAAGUCCCUAUAGAGAGAAAAGACCAGCAAGAAAAAGACAUCCCCCAAAGAAAUUGACAUAUGAUACACUAGGAAACCCUGGUUAUAAUGUUGAACCCUUGUUGCCUGCUCUAACAUCUGCUGUACGAUGUGUUUUGAAAGAUGUAUACCCUAACCAUAAUUUGACUCAUGAUGAAUAUGUGAUUUUGUUAGUAGACUUGCUAAAGAAAAUGUAUUGAUGUGUUGCUCUUGUACCCCUUGCUGGGGACAGCAAGUUUUUUUUUGGGGGGGAGUAUGUAAGGACCUUGCCCUUACCCAAGAUGGCUGCUGUAAUAGUUGUAUUGAGGAAGAGAAAUGCCAUCUGGGAAGGGGGAGGAGUGUUAGUGCUGAGGAGAUUUUCUGAGGUGUUAAGAGAAGUGUGGAGCUUGCACAGACUUUGAGAUGGGGGAAGAAAGUUGCUGUUUCCAAGCUGAAAGAAGUUAUUCAGACUAAUGCAUGGAUUCCAGAGACAGUUCAGACAUUGCUACAUGUGGCUGCUGAAGACAGAAGUUGGAACCUUUUAUUUGUACUAAAUCAGGAAUAAAAGGAUUGGGAAUCUAUAUUUCAUUACAACUAAGUUCUGUGUAUACUCAAGAAAGGAAGUGACCUGGUAGACCGACACAGUGUAGAGGGAGGGUCCACAGCUGCAUUCAUUACUUGUGGGAAAAGAGAACCUGGCCACCAGGAGGAGGGCAAGACACCCCAGCCAAAGGCUUAAAUACCUCCCCCACUCCCCCCCAUCCCCCAGUCAUUCUGCCGAGGGAACAAGGAACAGUAGAAGAAAUAUCAGGGUGAAAAAGGUGCCAGAAGAAAACAUCAAAAUUAAGGCCGCCCACCAGAGAGCACGAGCGGGAGCUGUGGACUCUCCCUGUACCGAAGUAAAGGAAAUUAUCUGGUAUUUUGUAACAUUGGAUACUGGAGAAUGGAACUCCCCAGUAGAAGAGAAGCAGCAUGUGAUCGAAGGACUGAGUAUGAGUAGUGAUUUUGACACAUUUGUGGAAACC